GUCGGCCCCCGCGACGGUCAGCCGUGAACUCCGCCAGGCCCGGAAGGGAGCAACGGUAGCGGUGCGACCGGGCGCCGGGACCGUCGGC
rnacentral:SRP_RNA from 1 species